CCCCGUCAAUGCUUCUUAAUUGUUGUAGAAUCUCACAACUUAUUUUUUUUCUUUUAUCUUGGCUUGUGCAAUGAAUUCUUGGGAGUUUGGCCUGUUCAGGACUAUGUUACUUUAUUCUUCUCCGGAAGUGUAUAUAUUUGUUAGAAAUAUGCCAAUAGGGAGAUGGUGUGCAAAUGAGAGGUGUACAGUGGCAGCACUGCAAGGUGAUUUUACUUAAAUAUUCUUGUUUCCACUUCUACGGCUGUGCUCUUCACUUUACUCAUGUAGUCAUGUGUUUUAGGCAUUAGAGAUAAUUGCACUCCUGCAGUUUUUAGGCACAAGUUAGGUGCAACUAAAUCAGAGUUCUUUGUUCUUUGAGUCUAGAAUAAAGAUGGUUCACUGUAGCAGGUUUUUUUUAACUGAAAUCUAGAAGAUGGUUUCACUUUGCUGAUUACUUAGUCUAGCUCUUGCAAAUGAGAGGUGUAC
rnacentral:lncRNA from 1 species